rnacentral:rRNA from 1 species
UAUGCACGCUGGCGGCGUGCCUAAUACAUGCAAGUCGAGCGAACGGACGAGAAGCUUGCUUCUCUGAUGUUAGCGGCGGACGGGUGAGUAACACGUGGAUAACCUACCUAUAAGACUGGGAUAACUUCGGGAAACCGGAGCUAAUACCGGAUAAUAUUUUGAACCGCAUGGUUCAAAAGUGAAAGACGGUCUUGCUGUCACUUAUAGAUGGAUCCGCGCUGCAUUAGCUAGUUGGUAAGGUAACGGCUUACCAAGGCAACGAUGCAUAGCCGACCUGAGAGGGUGAUCAGCCACACUGGAACUGAGACACGGUCCAGACUCCUACGGGAGGCAGCAGUAGGGAAUCUUCCGCAAUGGGCGAAAGCCUGACGGAGCAACGCCGCGUGAGUGAUGAAGGUCUUCGGAUCGUAAAACUCUGUUAUUAGGGAAGAACAUAUGUGUAAGUAACUGUGCACAUCUUGACGGUACCUAAUCAGAAAGCCACGGCUAACUACGUG